rnacentral:rRNA from 1 species
GGAUAAGCCUGGGAAACUGGGUCUAAUACCGAAUAUGACCGAUACUCGCAUGGGUGUUGGUGGAAAGCUCCGGCGGUUUGGGAUGGGCCCGCGGCCUAUCAGCUUGUUGGUGGGGUAAUGGCCUACCAAGGCGACGACGGGUAGCCGGCCUGAGAGGGCGACCGGCCACACUGGGACUGAGACACGGCCCAGACUCCUACGGGAGGCAGCAGUGGGGAAUAUUGCACAAUGGGCGCAAGCCUGAUGCAGCGACGCCGCGUGAGGGAUGACGGCCUUCGGGUUGUAAACCUCUUUCACCAGGGACGAAGCGAAAGUGACGGUACCUGGAGAAGAAGCACCGGCCAACUACGUGCCAGCAGCCGCGGUAAUACGUAGGGUGCGAGCGUUGUCCGGAAUUACUGGGCGUAAAGAGCUCGUAGGCGGUUUGUCGCGUCGUUCGUGAAAACUUGGGGCUUAACUCCAAGCGUGCGGGCGAUACGGGCAGACUUGAGUACUACAGGGGAGACUGGAAUUCCUGGUGUAGCGGUGAAAUGCGCAGAUAUCAGGAGGAACACCGGUGGCGAAGGCGGGUCUCUGGGUAGUAACUGACGCUGAGGAGCGAAAGCGUGGGUAGCGAACAGGAUUAGAUACCCUGGUAGUCCACGCCGUAAACGGUGGGUACUAGGUGUGGGUUCCUUUUCACGGGAUCCGUGCCGUAGCUAACGCAUUAAGUACCCCGCCUGGGGAGUACGGCCGCAAGGCUAAAACUCAAAGGAAUUGACGGGGGGCCCGCACAAGCGGC